rnacentral:lncRNA from 7 species
GACAAGGAAUGUUGUGUAGCUGGAGACCCCUUCACCAGUUGAAUGAGUUCAGCUCUUCUUUCUAUAUAUGAACACUGACCUGUCUGCAAGUACUUUGUCUGUUAUUACCAAGAACCUGUCAGAAGCAAUUUGCUGCUUUGUCAACAGAACAACAACCAUAGAACUAACUUAACUAUCCCCAAACUUUUCUGUAUUACAAAGUUUAAUACUUUGUAUUAAAAAAAGUCUUAGUACAGUUUCUGAGUUACUGAUAAAAGUGAAGUUUAUUGGCUACUUAUUCCUGCCUAGGACAACUACGGGGGGACAACUGAUAUUUCUCAGUAAAUGAAACAAGUUAAAUUUGUAUUUAUUUUUUAAGGGAAAUAUGUUUCUCUGGAACACCGAGGUUGAUCAAGAUCUCUCAACCUUUUUGACAGUAUUGAGCAGAAGAUUUCUGUUCAGGAAAGAGAGGAAAAGAAGAGAGCUUGCAGUGAGUAAGAGACUAGAAGCUUCUUUCCUGAAUGGUUUAAUGGUAUGAAUUUCAACUACACUUGCAGGAAGAAGUCCAUCACUUCGCCAGGGUGGAAGAGCAGAAAUGUAUUCUGCUUCCUGUUGCACAGGAGAGCAAACAUUUGUUUGCCAAGACUUUUUAAGUGUUUAAGGGUCAGUUGGAUUUUGAUCAGAAACAAAACAGUAGAGGUGGUACACACAAUAGACUGCAAUCAGAAGGGCUCACUGCCCACAUCUGGGUUACCUCCAUCUUCUUUCUGUUAGCCUAUUCUCUACUCCUAUCUGUUUCUGGAUCCUUCAGUUGCUCCAAAACAGUUAAAAACAAACCAUAUGUAAUAUAAUGACACAUGUAAUCUGUCAGGUCAGCCCUAAGACAUUUUUGCUGUUUAACUUUCCCAGAGCCAUAAAAACCCUUCCAAUUUAUUGGAUCAUGCCAACUUCACCCAAAGUAUUCUUGGCUGUUACUAAAAAUUUGUAUCUGUCCAUCUUUUUUUUUCUUUUCUUUUUUUCUUUUUUUUUUUUCCUGGGUCUCUUUUGACUGUAAUCUAUCCAGAUGGCCAGAUUGUGUCUGACCUUGUUCUAGCUGCUGGAGCAAAUCAAUACACUGUUAUCCUCUCCCUAAACCACUGAACUGUAAACACCUUCCGUGUUCCUCCUUACUGUUAUUUGAUACCUGCAAGACCACUAUACUUGUGAGACCAUAAACAGCCCACUGCCCAGUUGAUGUAAUGCCUUCCAGCUUAAGAACUUCUAUCCUAGGAACUAGGUCUGUGAACAGGGAAUAGUAUUCUUGGAGUGACAGAUGACUUUUUUGAAGUACUUGUGAGUACCUAAGAACCAGAGACAUCCUGAAUGUACCAUCCAAAAUUUUCUGACUCAGGUGGUUAGAAGGGAUCUCAUGAGUUGAUCUUGUCCACUUACCUGCUAUAAGAAUGUCCACUUACAAUGG